rnacentral:rRNA from 1 species
UACAGAGGGGGCGAGCGUUGUUCGGAAUUACUGGGCGUAAAGGGCUCGUAGGUGGCCAACUAAGUCAGACGUGAAAUCCCUCAGCUUAACUGGGGAACUGCGUCUGAUACUGGAUGGCUUGAGUUUGGGAGAGGGAUGCGGAAUUCCAGGUGUAGCGGUGAAAUGCGUAGAUAUCUGGAGGAACACCGGUGGCGAAGGCGGCAUCCUGGACCAACACUGACACUGAGGAGCGAAAGCCAGGGGAGCAAACGGG